ensembl:snoRNA U3 Small nucleolar RNA U3
GCCACCACAUUUGGCCUGGGAUCAUUUCUAUAAUUCCUUACUAGAGAAAUUUCUCUGAACAUAUAGAGCACCAGAAACCACUAGGAGGAGGUGCAGCAUUCUCUGGGGUUGUUCUCCUGUAACCCUCAUUUGCCACUGAUGAUCUCCCUACCAGGAAGUUAGAGGGAGAGGACAGUCUGAGUGG